rnacentral:rRNA from 1 species
GACGAACGCUGGCGGCGUGCCUAAUACAUGCAAGUAGAACGCACAGUUUAUACCGUAGCUUGCUACACCAUAGACUGUGAGUUGCGAACGGGUGAGUAACGCGUAGGUAACCUGCCUGGUAGCGGGGGAUAACUAUUGGAAACGAUAGCUAAUACCGCAUAAUAUUAAUUAUUGCAUGAUAAUUAAUUGAAAGGUGCAAUUGCACCACUACCAGAUGGACCUGCGUUGUAUUAGCUAGUAGGUGAGGUAACGGCUCACCUAGGCGACGAUACAUAGCCGACCUGAGGGGGUGAUCGGCCACACUGGGACUGAGACACGGCCCAGACUCCUACGGGAGGCAGCAGUAGGGAAUCUUCGGCAAUGGACGAAAGUCUGACCGAGCAACGCCGCGUGAGUGAAGAAGGUUUUCGGAUCGUAAAGCUCUGUUGUAAGAGAAGAACGGGUGUGAGAGUGGAAAGUUCACACUGUGACGGUAUCUUACCAGAAAGGGACGGCUAACUACGU